rnacentral:rRNA from 1 species
GAUGAACGCUGACAGAAUGCUUAACACAUGCAAGUCGAUGGGGAAGUGGUGCUUGCACCAUGGUAACCAUGGCGGACGGGUGAGUAACGCGUAAGGAACUUGCCUGCGGGACUGGGAUAACAGCAGGAAACUGCUGAUAAUACCGGAUAAGGUCAUUAAGCUGCAUAGCUUAGCGAUGAAAGGAGACUCCUGCGGAGAGCCUUGCGUCCCCUUAGUUAGUUGGAGGGGUAACUGC